CUACGGGCGGCUGCAGUGAGGAAUAUUGGACAAUGGAGGCAACUCUGAUCCAGCCAUGCCGCGUGCAGGAAGACGGCCCUAUGGGUUGUAAACUGCUUUUAUACAGGAAGAAUGUUAUCUACGUGUAGAUAUUUGACGGUACUGUACGAAUAAGGAUCGGCUAACUCCGUGCCAGCAGCCGCGGUAAUACGGAGGAUCCAAGCGUUAUCCGGAAUCAUUGGGUUUAAAGGGUCCGCAGGCGGUUCAUUAAGUCAGAGGUGAAAUCCUACCGCUCAACGGUAGCAUUGCCUUUGAUACUGAUGGACUUGAGUUAUAGUGAAGUAGUUAGAAUGUGUAGUGUAGCGGUGUAAUGCAUAGAUAUUACACAGAAUACCGAUUGCGAAAGCAGAUUACUAACUGUAUACUGACGCUGAGGGACGAAAGCGUGGGUAGCGAACAGGAUUAGAUACCCGGGUAGUC
rnacentral:rRNA from 1 species